AUGUUUAGUGUAAUGUAAAUUAAAUUCACUGCUUCCAGUUAAAAAUGAUGAUUGUUGUGUAGCAUGCUAGGAUUUAUGUACUUUGAUGCUCAUAAUGUUUGUGUUCAGGUGGUGAUCAUUCUUGGCAUCAUAAAGGAGUUCAACAUCCAAAUGGGUUAACUUAUAAUGGUGACUGGAUCUUAAACUAAGAUGUUUCAAGACAAGGAGUAACUGUUGCAGUUAUUAGGGCUUUCUUCUGAUCUGUCUGAUGAAGAAGGCAUUGUUAUGUUUGUCUUUCAUGAACCACUUGGGGGUGAUUGUAGAAAAAGCAGCUAGGAGGCAUGGGAAAGCGACCAGAGAUGAAACUUUCAUUGGUUCCCAAUGUGCCGGACUGGGGUUCGCCAGAUGAUGCUUUCUAGGUGCUCCUUGUAUUCCAGCAUCUGAGAUGGAGUUUAGAGGGAUGUCGUAGUAAACAUACUUAUUACGUACAGAUCGGCCAUUGAAUAGUCAGUGGGUUGUUUAAUUUCUUUAAUGGAUCCAGUUUUUGUGUCAGCAACAAUUCAUGUUGAUUCUGGAGUUAGCUCUGACGGUCAGAGAAAUUCUGAGGAACCGAGGAAGAAGACGUUGAUGAGAAUGAGAAACACAGGAGAGAUCGAAGAAGGUGAGAUUGUUCUUCUGAAAGACUUAUGUUGGUUUAUUUCCUUCGAAGCCUUCCAGUAUUUCUGCACCUGAAGAAGGACCCAAAUGCUUCAACAGAUUUUAGGCAUCCACUAAAGAAGGAUGGAUUUGUGCGCAUGAGCUCUCCUAAGUUGAUGCUUGCUAGUUUAAACUGUAUUGCUUAUCUUUAUUUUUUCCUUCUUUUGUUUAUUUUGUUACCUUUCCCCGUACCUGAAGUUCAUGUGUUUUUCUGUUACGGAUUGAGGAUAUGACUAUUAGUAUUAUCACUAUGAGCUAUGUGUUCUUAUAUAUUUGAAAAAGCCAUAUUUUAA